rnacentral:rRNA from 1 species
UACGUAGGGUGCGAGCGUUGUCCGGAAUUAUUGGGCGUAAAGAGCUCGUAGGCGGUUUGUCGCGUCUGCUGUGAAAUCCCGAGGCUCAACCUCGGGCUUGCAGUGGGUACGGGCAGACUAGAGUGCGGUAGGGGAGACUGGAAUUCCUGGUGUAGCGGUGGAAUGCGCAGAUAUCAGGAGGAACACCGAUGGCGAAGGCAGGUCUCUGGGCCGCAACUGACGCUGAGGAGCGAAAGCGUGGGGAGCAAACAGG